GUCCUUUUGUAGAAUGUGAAUUUUAAGGAGUAGAUGAAGAAAUGUAGAAAUUUGUCUCUGCUGUUGAGAUUUUAUAAUAUAGAAAACUGAGAGCAACUGUAUACAAAAUCAAUGUCUCUGGCUUCAUGUUAUAAGAGAAAAAAAAGCAAUGGUCAGGUGAAACUGAACAACUGGAGAAUGUCAGGAGCGUACAACAGAUAUUGGGAAUCUACAAUCAUAAGAAUCAGGGCAAUGUACAUGGCUCGUUCUCUGGGCCUGAAAAACUUAAGUGUUAGGUUGGGGGAGGUAGGGGAUGAGGGAUUUGCAGGCAUUCAGUCUGAAACAAUGAACUGGUUAUUCCCCAGGCUCAACUACAUGUUCAAGACCAAUUUACUAAUUAUUAGGGAACCAACCAAGAAUUUUGAGCGAGUGGAAAAAACUGUCUCUUUAAGAAGAAAUUACCAAUAGAAAGACUCGCCUUUCGUGUAUGAGACAGUAAGAGGUUAAAUGUUGACAAGUGAGUGGCUGUCGCUGGAGGUGGUGUGAGGAGGAAGACCGCCAUUGUUCACCAGUGAAACCACUGUGUAAUCGGAACCCGGGGCAAAUAGUUCAUGGAAGAUGGGCUUCUCCGACAUGCAGUGAAGAACCACUGAUCUUUGAUUUUUAGAGGACGAAUAGUUUGUACUAUUCUUGCAAGCCUCAUUCAUUUAAUGCAACCUACACUGAAUACAACCAGGACGGUGUGGAGAGGUGAAGCAGAGAGGUCGUGAAGGAAGGGUUAACUUACUCACCAACCAAAUAGUAUCCGGUCACAAAAGACUCCAGAACGACGAAGGGACUGAGAGCCAUAGGUCAGUUAAAUACAAUUUGAGCUUAAUAUUAAUAUGCCUCAGGCCCCAGCAACACACACACACACACACACACACUCAUAUUACUUCUACCUGAAAACCUUGCCAACAAGUGCCUGUCUAAUCCCAAGCCGGUGUCACUUUUGCUAUUGGUCAUUUGGCCAAAGAUUAUUGUUUUAAAGUAUCUUGCACAUUCCUCCUCAUUUGUGUCUUUCAAAGCAAGCAAGCAAGCAAGCAAACAAACAACAAACGAUUUCCUUGCUCCAGCUUCUUUGAAUGUGCCGUCCAUCGCUCACGUUUGGGAUACGGGUUCCCACCGCAGCACUUGGCUCUCCGAGGGCAGCAUCCCGUGAUUGACAGAGCGGUAUCAUUGGUCUGGAGAACUCCUGUUGUUAUUGGACCAACAUGUUGGGUCGCAGGUGACACACUGGCAAACUGAAGAAUUUUGCUAGUGAGAAAGAAAGGAGGAGAGGAGAAAGAGUUGGUAAAGAGAAGGAAGGAAGGAGAACCCAGGAGAGAGGAAGACAAGAAAAUGAGAACAGAAGGCCACCAGAGCUAGCUCAGUGGGUGUAAAGGACCAAGUGUCACGCCCUGGAGGCCAGAGUCCAAUGCUAGUGUCCACAUAGUGGAAGGGGAGAAGGGACUCCUACACGUCGUCCUCUGGACACCAAUAAAGCCAUACAACAUGAAUCAAAUGUAACUUUGAAAAAUUAAGAGAGGAAAAUGAAAAGGGAAAAGCUAAGGAGAAAUGGCUUCCUCUUCAGGCACUAAAGGCAGAUACACUUGGGUUUGGCAGUGAAGGUGAUGUUGAAACUUUUUGUUUGUGCUUUUUUUUUUCUUUAUUGGUUCUGAAGCCCAGUGCCUGGCACUGUUGGCUGUCGGUCCACACGUGGAAUGAGUUUCUUUGGCAUUAAUAAGCACCUUGACAUGUGGGAUAUUUUUUUGGUUCUGCUCUGCAUACAGUCUUUUCUUCUAUGAGCAGGCUCUCACCCAACCUCGAAGCUGGGUUCUUUUUAAAAUUUCCACAAUUAAUAAAAGUGACACACUAUCAUGGCUGAUAUAUGACAUACACCCUUGGGAGGGGUGGGGUCCCCGAAGGAGGCUGACAGUUGGAGCAGAAGUAACACUUGGCAUCCAGACCCCAGUGGGAUAAAGGGGUUGCAGAACAUGGAGAGCAUGUUUAGAGGCUUACCUGCGCCAUUGCACCUUUGACUUAGGAGCUACGGGAGUAGGUAGCAGGCGUCGUUUGUGAAGAGCUUGCGUCCUCUCCUCUCAUAAAAGUAGGAACCAGGUUUCAUGGUCCUUUGUCCUCUGCAGUUUCCAGCUGGCAUCCUUUGGACAAAGGCCUACCCACCACUACUCUGUAGCCUUUCCUCCAGGGACAUCUCUGGUGUGGCAUGGAGCUGGGCUGCUGGACAGUCCCUCAGUUCGGGGUCCUGUUUUCUCUGAUUGGACAACCGAGGGCUCUAGCUGACCACACCAAUGAAUAGGGAUGUGAAGCUGGCUUGUUCCUCUCGCCUGUGUUUGCAGAAGAGACUUCUGUGGCCAUGUCUUUCUUUACAUCAGCAAGAGCGGUGAAUGACAAUGAGCUGCUAAGGUAAAAUUUCUCAACCCAUGCAUCAGCUUGGGGAAGGCUCUGCAUGCAUCUGAAGUUUGGUGUCUCUGUGCACCAGCCUAGCUGCUCCAGCCCCUCAGGCUCUGGUGACAUUUUCUCCCAUGCAAGUGAUCACCUCCUCCUCUUGCCCUUAGAUAAUUUAUGCUUCUUCCCACUCAGCACAGUAAUAAAAUGUCUUAGGAGCUGCUGAAGGGGAUCCAGCGGCUUUCGAGCACUAUCCAGAGAAGAUGCAAAACUCCACACUCAAGCCGACUUAGAAUUUAUGAGAAUAUGUACUUUCUCAAGAGACAUAGAAUUUGCAGGGGGUUGGGUGUAGGGUGGGCCUGGGGGAUGGAGGAGGGGCAAAGGAGUCACGGUGGCUCUAGAGGGAGGGCUGCUGGGAGUGGGGGAAAGGGAGAGAAUCAGGAAUGAAUGCAGCCUUAAGCAAGAUGAGAUCCCAUCCCAGGCCUGCCCCAGGAGAUCCCAGAGCCUGCCCUGCCCCAGGGUUUCCUGUCCCACCCCGCAGGGCACACAUAAUCAAGGAAAUCACUGUGGUUUCUAGGGACAAGAGAGAACAUGGCAGUAUGAACGCUCAUGAAAUACAACAAAUUCCUCACCAGGGAACAAAACUGAACGCCUCUGCCAAGCGAUAGGAUAAAAGACAACUUAGGGAAGUGCUGGAGCAGCUGGUGAAGCAGCUCUUAGGCUGAAAGCAAGGCACUGAAGUCAUCCCAGGCCUCUGGACUGGAUUAAUCCACUUUUGGAAGAAUGAAUUUGUGGGUUACCACUGGAGCCUUUCUUGUUAUAACUGGCUAGCGCUGGCUCUGUCUCACCUUGGGAUGCUCUGAAUGCUUUGCAUAAUCCCCGCAGCAAGAUGCAGCCCCUCAGCUUUGAAUUUACCAGCUUUAGGAGUCCAGAUGAGCUUCUCUAUACGUAUAAACUAUGCAGUCUUCAGUCACAGCUGCAGAAAACCACUGACAAAGCCCCACUUGCCCUUGGAGUCUCCAUCUUUCUGGUAGUCUCCUUACAGUCCUAACCAUCGCUUCUCUCCACCUGAUAGGGCCCUGCUGUGCACAGGACACCAAGUGUUCCUUGUCCUAUCCUGAAGCCAAGGGGCUUUGUUGCUUCUCACUUGGGCUUUGUCCCUUAUCUUAACACACACACACACCUACCUUAAUCAUAAUUACAUAUAUGUAUGUAUUAUGAAUGUAUGUAUGUAUGUAUGUAUGUAUGUAUGUAUUUAAAUUCAGGUAUGGUGAUGGCAACAGAGCAGGAGACUAAUCAAUAUCACUGUGAAAGCUGUCAGAAACAAAAAUGGAGCCUCUCUUUGCUGUAGUGAAGUGACUUCCUCUGGGCCUGACAAGACCAUCGGCCAUCACGGAACAGAGAUGCUGUAGUGACCUGAAGAAUAAAUGAUAUAUAGGUUUAUAAUAACAGUAGUGAGGCUGCUAAUAUUCAUUCAUAGUAAGAGGAGGUACCUACAUCCCCGCUGCAAUGGUCUUGGGGGUUCCUACUGGAGUAUAGAGUAGAAGGCUGGCUGGAGGUGGGAACCAUGGGGUGCAAUCUUCCUGAGCUAUCCCCCAUGACAUAGGACUUUUAAAUAAUAUUACUGUUAAUUCACUCAUGAUCCCAUACAUAACCCCUUCCCAUGUCAUGUCAGUAAUCCCAAUAAAUGUAUUGAACUUGG